GACGAACGCUGGCGGCGUGCUUAACACAUGCAAGUCGAACGGAAAGGCCUGCUUUCCCUUGUGGAUUGCGGGUACUCGAGUGGCGAACGGGUGAGUAACACGUGAGUGAUCUGCCCCCAACUUGGGUAUAAGCCUGGGAAACUGGGUCUAAUUCCCGAUAGGACUGCAGGGUGGUGCCUGUGGUGGAACACGAUUUUCUAGUGGUUGGGGAUGAGCUCGCGGCCUAUCAGCUUGUUGGUGGGGUAAUGGACUACCAAGGCGGCGACGGGUAGCCGGCCUGAGAGGGUGGACGGCCACAUUGGGACUGAGAUACGGCCCAGACGCCUACGGGAGGCAGCAGUGGGGAAUAUUGCACAAUGGGCGGAAGCCUGAUGCAGCGACGCCGCGUGGGGGAUGACGGCCUUCGGGUUGUAAACUCCUUUCGACCGCGAGGAAGCCACCUGGUUGGAAGGGUGGUGACGGUAGUGGUAGAAGAAGCACCGGCUAACUACGUG
rnacentral:rRNA from 1 species